AGAGUUUGAUCCUGGCUCAGAACGAACGCUGGCGGCGUGCUUAACACAUGCAAGUCGAACGAGAAAGUUUCUUCGGAAACGAGUAAAGUGGCGCACGGGUGAGUAACGCGUAGAUAACCUUCCAAGCGACUGGGAUAGCCCCAGGGAAACCUGGGCUAAUACCGCAUACAGCGGAGGGAGUAGGUGCCCUUCGUGAAAGCUGGCCUCUCCAUGGAAGCUAGCGUCGCCGGAGGAGCGGUCUGCGUACCAUUAGUUUGGUGGGGUAAUGGCCUACCAAGACUACGAUGGUUAACGGGUCUGAGAGGAUGAUCCGUCACACUGGCACUGAAACACGGGCCAGACUCCUACGGGAGGCAGCAGUGAGGAAUAUUGCGCAAUGGGGGCAACCCUGACGCAGCGACGCCGCGUGGGUGAGGAAGGCUUUCGGGUCGUAAAGCUCUGUCAGAAGGGAAGAAAUGCUUAUAGGUUAAUACCUUGUAAGUUUGACGGUACCUUCAAAGGAAGCACCGGCUAACUCCGUGCCAGCAGCCGCGGUAAUACGGAGGGUGCAAGCGUUGUUCGGAAUCACUGGGCGUAAAGCGCGCGUAGGCGGCCGAGUAAGUCGUAUGUGAAAGACCGGGGCUCAACUCCGGUAUUGCAUGCGAUACUGCUUGGCUUGAGUAUCAGAGAGGCAAGUGGAAUUCCCGGUGUAGCGGUGGAAUGCGUAGAUAUCGGGAAGAACACCUGUGGCGAAGGCGGCUUGCUGGGCCUUUUCUGACGCUGAAGUGCGAAAGCGUGGGGAGCAAACAGGAUUAGAUACCCUGGUAGUCCACGCCGUAAACGAUGGGUACUAGGCGUUGGGAGGAUUUGACCCUCUCAGUGCCGUAGCUAACGCGUUAAGUACCCCGCCUGGGGAGUACGGCCGCAAGGCUGAAACUCAAAGGAAUUGACGGGGGCCCGCACAAGCGGUGGAGCAUGUGGUUUAAUUCGAUGCAACGCGAAGAACCUUACCUGGACUUGACAUGUCGGUAGUACUCUCCUGGAAACAGGAGGGGACCCUUAGGGGAGCCGUCACAGGUGCUGCAUGGCUGUCGUCAGCUCGUGUCGUGAGAUGUUGGGUUAAGUCCCGCAACGAGCGCAACCCUCGCCCGUAGUUGCUAACGGGUUAUGCUGAGGACUCUACGGGGACUGCCGGUGAUAAACCGGAGGAAGGUGGGGAUGACGUCAAGUCCUCAUGGCCCUUAUGCCCAGGGCGACACACGUGCUACAAUGGCCGGUACAGAGGGCAGCAAUACCGCGAGGUGGAGCGAAUCCCAAAAAACCGGUCUAAGUUCGGAUUGCAGUCUGCAACUCGACUGCAUGAAGCUGGAAUCGCUAGUAAUCGUGGGUCAGCCAUACCACGGUGAAUACGUUCCCGGGCCUUGUACACACCGCCCGUCAAGCGAUGGAAGCUGGGGGUACCCGAAGCCGGUGGCCUAACCCUUCGGGGAGGGAGCCGUCGAAGGUAAACUCAGUGACUGGCGCUAAGUCGUAACAAGGUAACC
rnacentral:rRNA from 1 species